rnacentral:lncRNA from 1 species
CUUAUCGUCUUGUGUCAAAUGAUCACAAAUACUCUUGUAUUAAAAGCGGAACACUUCAGUUUACAUAACGAUAGGAUAUUAGUCAUGGCGCACACAAAUUGGUUUAAGGGCGUUCUUUAUAUUAGGCAGUGGUAUUUAUUAAUAGUGUUAUGGAAUUGUAUCAAGACAAACGCUUCAUGUCCAUCAGGCACAUUUAAAAGUGAUUUUCUGAGCGGCGGAUGUGCGUUGUGUCCACAGAAGUUGAAAUAUUGUGAAAAUGAAGAACUCGAAGACUCUGUACGAUGUUUCAGAGCUUGUCGUAAGUUACAUGAUGUUAUAUCAAUUCUAAUGUUGUAUUCGUGUGAAAUUUACAACAUUAAUUGUCAUGCAUAUCCACUGACGACCAUUAACCUAGCUAACGCCAGAUGAUUUUAUAUAUAAAAGUUUCAUUGAUAGGGAAGCCAGAAAAAUACAAAAAGAACGACGUUUCGAGUGAAGGCCUUCGUCUCGUCACAAAAUAUUGUCUGUCUAAUAAGGACUAGUAUAAAAUGAAGAAAAAACUUUAUGGCUUGUAUUGAUAUCUGUAUCGACAAUUGAGGGAUUAUUAAAAAAUAUAUAGCCUAGGCAGUUGUAGUUGCAGGCACUGGAAAUAUCCGUAUAGUGGGGUCCACUCUUGAAAAAUAUAAUAGGCCUACUUAUAUCUAUUUCCCAAGUAAACGGUGAUUGACCCGGACAACUGUAUGUUGUUAGUUUUGGUUUAGCGACACAUAAGGUCUAUGAUUUCCUGUCGAGACAUGAAGAAUUUUAGAAACUUUUUAUCGGCGUGAUUCAUCAUGCAGCUACCUUUAAUUCAAUUAUAAAUUUGCAUCUAAGUUUUAAGUUUUUAUGUUUCGUUUAAGCUGAUGGAAUACUAAUACUCAUGUAGACUAACAACUAUUGAUGCCACUGCUAAAUUUUUCCUAUAUUCCGUAUUACCAAAACCACGCGGAUCCUUCCUAUCGCCCAGAAACACCUGUAAUGUUUUCCUGUCAAAACAUUCGCAUUCUUGAAUGUUUUGACACGACUACAACUAGACAAAGAGGAAUUAUCCGCGGUUUUGGCAAUAAUGCUCACUUAGCAUUCAAUGAAUGUGAUAUUUGCUGAUUAAAUUUCAGUCUAUUUGUGCAUCUUUAAAGGCCCUCGACCUUGUGAAUCGAUAAUUGUCUUUUUGAAAAGCGUGGGCGCUCACAGUUUCAAUGUAGCCAUACUGUAUAUAAAAUUUCACUGCACAAAUAUGCGAAAUAAAACAACAGACAUUUAAUUCCAGACUUUCAGUAUACUUUGUAAAUUAACACACUUUAACAAAGCAUGAAACGUUUCGUUUAAAUAUUUUCUAGGCAUUCUAUAAUUUCGAAAUCAUUCAUGUUAGACAAAAAAUUCCGCAUUCUUGACUUAAUUGUCUUUGUGAUGAUAAUAUUUCGAUAAUUUUUUUUUGGCGUUGGUAGACGAGAUCCAGAGUUAUUUCCGGAUAUUUAAAUCUAUAAUAAACAAUAUUUGCUUUUAACCUCUCUACUGCCGACAAUUAGUAUGGAAAUUAUGUCUGUCAGAAUCCACUGUAACUUUUAAACAGUCCGAAGAAAUUAUUAACGGCGAAAAGUCGAAAUUUAUAGUUGUACGUCUGUGUUCUGGUUGCGUUACAAACAAAAAUAUAUACUUGACAAAAUUGAGUUUAAUUAAUUAAUUAUAGCAGAGGGCAGUGGAAUAUCAUGGAAGAUGGGCAUAACUCGAGUGCUGCCUUUCUUUGCCUAAUAUGAUAAAGAAGUCAGGAAAAUGCAAAGAGAGUGUAGUUUUUGAACCCUGCACUCAUAACUCCCACCCCGCACAAUCAAUUCCGAAAUGAAUAUUACAACACCCUGUUUGAAAUCGCUACGAAUCGCGUGGGUACGUCAUGGUGUGAACAUUGCAUAGUUAAAUUCUAAUAAUAGCAAUUUUAUCUAUUUCUAACGUUCGACAAAUGCGUGGUAAGACGUCAUAGAGAAGCUUUGUGAACAACUACACCCUUAAAGUUAAAGCCUCGCUUUAGUGUAUGCAUGUGACACCAACUAAGGUCCAAGGUCUCAAUCAUGAAAACGAGACUCUGUAACCAAGGUGACAAACUUUCCAAAAGCGUGCAUUCUAGGGAUAUAGC